rnacentral:lncRNA from 1 species
AGAAGCUUCCAGGAACUCCCGGGUCGGCGACCCAGCCCGAGCCGCCUGGGGCCCCAAGGGAAGCUGAACGCCCUGUGGGCUCCUGGGAUGGUUCUUCCCGUUCUUUGCGCCGCCUUCACCCAUUGAAGAGCCUGUGCCCACCCUGCCCAGUCGCUCUCGGGGCCGCGGAGGAGCUUCCGCUGCCAUCUUCGGAUCCUGUGUUCCGCACGGGGGCUCCACCAGGGCAGGGAUGGUGCAGAAUGGGGAAAUGGAGAGAGAACCUGAAAGAGCCCCAAACUCGAGGACCUAUUGCUCCCCAAGAAUAACAUCUUCCAGAAGAACUAGACAGAAAACUAGGCGUCUGGGAACUCUGAAAUCCUUGGAGGAGUAGCAUCAUCAUGACCCUCUGUGUUCCUUUUGGCAAAGGACUUGCUCCCAUUGUUUGCUUGUUCCAUUGUCUGUCUGUUAAAUAAAUAAAACCCUUUUCAUAUAUCUUUAAACUUA